rnacentral:rRNA from 1 species
GACGAACGCUGGCGGCGUGCCUAAUACAUGCAAGUUGAGCGCUGAAGGUUGGUACUUGUACCAACUGGAUGAGCAGCGAACGGGUGAGUAACGCGUGGGGAAUCUGCCUUUGAGCGGGGGACAACAUUUGGAAACGAAUGCUAAUACCGCAUAAAAACUUUAAACACAAGUUUUAAGUUUGAAAGAUGCAAUUGCAUCACUCAAAGAUGAUCCCGCGUUGUAUUAGCUAGUUGGUGAGGUAAAGGCUCACCAAGGCGAUGAUACAUAGCCGACCUGAGAGGGUGGUCGGCCACAUUGGGACUGAGACACGGCCCAAACUCCUACGGGAGGCAGCAGUAGGGAAUCUUCGGCAAUGGACGAAAGUCUGACCGAGCAACGCCGCGUGAGGGAAGAAGGGUUUCGGAUCGUAAAACUCGGUUGGUAGAGAAGAACGUUGGUGAGAGUGGAAAGCUCAUCAAGUGACGGUAACUACCCAGAAAGGGACGGCUAACUACGUG